rnacentral:rRNA from 1 species
AUUGAACGCUGGCGGCAGGCCUAACACAUGCAAGUCGAGCGGAGGAAGGGUGCUUGCCCCUGGAUGCAGCGGCGGACGGGUGAGUGAUGCCUAUGAAUCUGCCUGGUAGUGGGGGAUAACGUCCGGAAAAGGGCGCUAAUAUCGCAUACGUCAUGAGGGGGAAAGAGGGGGCGCUUCGGACCUCAAGCUAUCAGAUGAGACUAGGUCGGAUUAGCUAGUUGGUGGGGUAAAGGCCUACCAAGGCGACGAUCCGUAACUGGUCUGAGAGGAUGAUCAGUCACACCGGAACUGAGACACGGUCCAGACUCCUACGGGAGGCAGCAGUGGGGAAUAUUGGACAAUGGGCGAAAGCCUGAUCCAGCCAUGCCGCGUGUGUGAAGAAGGUCUUCUGAUUGUAAAGCACUUUAAGUUGGGAGGAAGGGCAGUAAGUUAAUACCUAGCUGUUUUGACGUUACCAACAGAAUAAGCACCGGCUAACUUCGUG